rnacentral:lncRNA from 1 species
GAAAGAGGCCAUAUGGACCUUAAUUAAACAGACUGCUGACAUAAGAGUUGUAUUGAUACUUAAAUUAAAGUGUGAGAAUAUAACUGAUAUAAUUAGAAAUAAAUGGUGCAAAGUAAAAUUUAGGAAAAGGUAUAAGAGUGUAAGGUGUAAUUCAAGAUAUUUUUUUAGUUAUAUCGUAAUUGGUCUGACGUUAGUUGUGUGACGAUACAAGGGUGAUGCUGCUACUACGGUGACCCUAAGUUGGCAUCGGUGGAAAUUUAUUGCACGAUUUGGUUUGGAUUUCUGAUGGGACGGUUUCGUUUCUGUUGCAAAUUAUGGAUUUUUUUGAAAGGACAGCUUUUCUCCCGUCUAUUUUUGGAUUACAUUGGCAUAAUUCAAGCCUUUUUAGUCUUAUUUUAAUAUUAUUUUGAUAAUUAAAAUCGUUUAUAUUAUAGACAUCAUCGAAGAAGAGUUUAAUAUUAUAAAAAAAAAAUUGAUCAGAUCUAAAUUAAUAGUCGAUCAAUAACAAUUUACAUUAAGAUAAAUAGAUAUAAUCAUUUGUAUCACACAUAUUUAUUAAUAUUAAACAUUAUUGAACGAAUAUUGAUCUGUAUACGAUCAAUAUAAUGUUUUACAGUAUUGAUUAUCACCAUAAAAUUUACAAUAUGAAUUGUUUAGAUCAUCAAAAUAAAAAUAAAAAAUAAAACCCAAAAUAUUUGAUUACACAUGUAAUCCAAAUUUGAUUGCAAGUAAGUGUGUCCUUCUUGAGCAUCACCACCUUUUAUUUAAGUACAUACUUAGGCUCCGUUUGACACCAGUUUUUUUCAGGCUUUUGACUUAAAAUAAGUAAAAAAAUCAACCAGAAUUGGUUUUUUUGCUUUUUGCUUUUUGUUUUUUGGCUUAGUUUUAGCUAAAAUAAAGCUGCAAAAGCAAUAAAAUCAAAAAUUCUUAGCCUUUUAGAUAGCUAGCUUAAAAAAAGCUUAAUUUUAAGUAUUACCCAACGGAGCCUUAGUUUUGAUGUGGAGUUGAAUUUUCCAUCAUAGAACUGUAGAACAAAAACAUAAACAAAAUGUAUUCAGAUGCUCUUCGGUUCAAUUUGGUUCUUCAGUUUCAAAAAACGUAACAAUCGAAACGUUUUUUAAUUUACCUCAAAACUGAAACAAACUAGACCACGACCUCCCCUAGGUUUGGCCAACAACAAAUCCAAUGUAGAAUUGUAGAUAUAAAAGCAAAUCCAAUAGUUUAACUUAUUUUGGUUAAAGCGAACAUUAUUUAUUGACUAGUUAUAGUCUCAAAAUAUUAAAACAUGACAAUGUUGCUACAUUGGUGUGAUGAUAUUGUGACAUCAUUACUAAUUGUCUACCCAAUAUUUUAAAAUUCGGAUCGGUGAGUGAACCGGAAAAAUGACCAGAUCACAGGUUACCAGUUCAACCAUCGGUUCAACCGUUAUUGAAUCCCGACACCCUUCGAAACCGGGAAUAAUAAAUUAUUAUAAUAUAUAAUAAAAAAAAUAAAAUUAUUGUGAUUUGAGGUCUAAUGCAAUAAUUUAAAAUUUGUGAGUCAAAAAAAAAAAAAAAGUUUUUUUGGUUUCACUUGAAAUUGGUGAGGGGUUGUUAAGUGUGAUUUGGUGUUUUUAAAAACCCCCAAAUCCAAUCAACUCCUAUAGGACCCAAAUCAACACGCCUCUCUUUCUCUCUCAGUGCUAUAGUCAAGAGACCCCAAAUCCAAUCACGUCAUCUCUCUAUGCUCAUAGUCUCAGAGACCCAAAUCAAUCACGCCUCUCUAUCUCAGCGCUCUCUCAGCCGUCGGCUCUCGCCGCCGGCCACCACCACCGACACCGAAUCACCAACCACCAUGGACCAUCCACCCCUUUCUCACUCAUUUUCCACUCCCGAGUUCACCGGUCCUAGUUUGUCAAAAAAAGCUCCGGUUCGACAGGACCGCGGGUCGUGACGGUUCAGUCCGAUUUUAUGUGUUCACUGGGUUAAAGAAGUUGACUGGAUCAUUUCUUCGACCGAUCGACGGUUCAACCGAUUGAACUGGCUGAUCUGGUCCGAGUUUCAAAAUAUUGUGUCUACCAUCAAAUCAAAAUGCAUAUAUUGAAUAUUUAAAUAUUGGUAAUGACUUGACAAGCUUUACAAUGCCGAGCAAAGCGAUAAGUACAACUAUUGAAGUUAUAUAUUUUACUAUUUUUUGCCAAAUUGCAAGAGUGUCAAGCUUUUUGCCUAACUAUUGGAGAUGCUACAUGUCAGAUAUGUCGUUAUUUAACCUUUUUUUUGUGAAUUUGUCAUUCAUAUGCAUGUUCCAUAUUUUGGCAAUGUAUGACCUUAAUUUAAUUAUUUUUAAAAUACAGCAUAAUUAACUACAAUAUCCAAAAUCCUCUACAGCUGUACAUGAUCAAUUAAGGAAUAAUUCAGUUGGUAAAUAAUGGGAAAAAAAUAUAAUAACUGAAUAAACAAGUUGGGAGAAAAAAUGCAAGUGGGAAUAGUUAAUUUCUAUUUUUUUUUCUGCUGCCAGUUCA